UAAUACAGAGGGUGCAAGCGUUGCUCGGAAUUAUUGGGCGUAAAGGGUAGGUAGGUGGUCUCAUUUGUCUAGGGUGAAAUCCUGGGGCUUAACCCCAGAAGUGCCCUGGAAACGGUGAGACUGGAGUCCUGGAGAGGGUCGUGGAAUUCCCGGUGUAGCGGUGAAAUGCGUAGAGAUCGGGAGGAACACCAGAGGCGAAGGCGGCGACCUGGACAGGUACUGACACUAAACUACGAAAGCGUGGGGAGCAAACAGGAUUAGAUACCCUGGUAGUCCACGCCGUAAACGAUGGGUACUAGAUUUGGCGGGUCUUGACCCCUGCCGAGUCGGAGCUAACGCAAUAAGUACCCCGCCUGGGAAGUACGGUCGCAAGACUA
rnacentral:rRNA from 1 species